rnacentral:rRNA from 1 species
CAAGUCGAACGAUGAAGGAGGAGCUUGCUCCUCCGGAUUAGUGGCGAACGGGUGAGUAAUACGUGAGCAAUGUGCCCUUGACUCUGGGAUAAGCGCUGGAAACGGCGUCUAAUACCGGAUACGACCCUCGGAGGCAUCUCCUGGGGGUGGAAAGAACUUCGGUCAAGGAUCAGCUCACGGCCUAUCAGCUUGUUGGUGAGGUAACGGCUCACCAAGGCGACGACGGGUAGCCGGCCUGAGAGGGUGACCGGCCACACUGGGACUGAGACACGGCCCAGACUCCUACGGGAGGCAGCAGUGGGGAAUAUUGCACAAUGGGCGCAAGCCUGAUGCAGCAACGCCGCGUGAGGGACGACGGCCUUCGGGUUGUAAACCUCUUUUAGCAGGGAAGAAGCGAAAGUGACGGUACCUGCAGAAAAAGCACCGGCUAACUACGUGCCAGCAGCCGCGGUAAUACGUAGGGUGCAAGCGUUGUCCGGAAUUAUUGGGCGUAAAGAGCUCGUAGGCGGUCUGUCACGUCUGCUGUGAAAACCCGAGGCUCAACCUCGGGCUUGCAGUGGGUACGGGCAGACUAGAGUGCGGUAGGGGAGAUUGGAAUUCCUGGUGUAGCGGUGGAAUGCGCAGAUAUCAGGAGGAACACCGAUGGCGAAGGCAGAUCUCU